rnacentral:rRNA from 1 species
GAUGAACGCUGGCGGCGUGCCUAAUACAUGCAAGUCGAGCGAACGGACGAGAAGCUUGCUUCUCUGAUGUUAGCGGCGGACGGGUGAGUAACACGUGGAUAACCUACCUAUAAGACUGGGAUAACUUCGGGAAACCGGAGCUAAUACCGGAUAAUAUUUUGAACCGCAUGGUUCAAAAGUGAAAGACGGUCUUGCUGUCACUUAUAGAUGGAUCCGCGCUGCAUUAGCUAGUUGGUAAGGUAACGGCUUACCAAGGCAACGAUGCAUAGCCGACCUGAGAGGGUGAUCGGCCACACUGGAACUGAGACACGGUCCAGACUCCUACGGGAGGCAGCAGUAGGGAAUCUUCCGCAAUGGGCGAAAGCCUGACGGAGCAACGCCGCGUGCGUGAUGAAGGCCUUCGGAUCGUAAAACUCUGUUAUUAGGGAAGAACAUAUGUGUAAGUAACUGUGCACAUCUUGACGGUACCUAAUCAGAAAGCCACGGCUAACUACGUG